GCCUCAGCCGCGAGGCCCUCAUCGCCCUCCUUGUGGUGCUGGCGGGCAUCAGUGCCAGCUGUUUCUGUGCCCUCGUCAUCGUGGCAAUUGGUGUCUUGCGGGCCAAGGGAAAUGGCGUUUCCUAGGCGUGUGUUGGGUGAGGUCCGGGGGCCCAGCACUGUUCCAGGACUCAUGUUGGCCUUUGUCCCCUCAGUGAAACAUGCCUGAGACAAGUGGACAACAGGUUGGUGGAGAAUUUUGGGGUCCAGGAAGAUCGCAUGGACCUGCACCCGGUAUAUGUGGAGUCCCAGCUAAUGGACGCUGACCUGGAGGUCUCCAUGGUGCCACCACUAGAGGAUCAGCGCCUUGUGGCCAUCUCCAUGGAGGCUUGUCCAGAGGAGCCGCCACCACCCCCACCCCUACCACCUGAGUAGGGCUGAGGGCAGCUGGGGGAGAGGAAUUAAAGUGUAUUUAGUGGU
rnacentral:sRNA from 1 species